UAGAAUAAAAUAAAAAUAUUAAAUAAAAUAUUCAAUUUUCUCAUAAAACAAUAUUUUGAGAACACUGCAAAAAUAAUUUUUACAGCGUAAAAACAAAAUAAAUUCAUACAUACUGUAAUACAGUAAGCCAGAGUAUUUAAUUUAAUUUACAAUAACUAGUGGGCCCUCGAAUAACCAAAAAUAAGAAAGAUUGUGAACCUAUAGUUGGAGGAUGCAAAUCCAAUUAUGAUCCCCGAUGAAAUCAGCUAUCUAUAGACUAUCCUGAGCCUGAAAUGGGUGAAAAGGAGGGUGGUGAGAUUAUAUAAUCCCAGUGAGUAAACAAAUACCAUCUAAAAUAUCUAAAGCCGGGUAAAUGGAGAUAGAUAAAAUAGUUUAACUUACUGUAAUUCAUCACUUUUCAACUUGCUUCAACCAAAUAAAAUCAAUUCAUAUAAAUUGACUAAUCAACAUGGCUUAUGAAUUUCUUAAAACUUUGGCUCGUGCCAAAAUCAUUCUCAUACUCCGUUAUCAAGGAUGCCUUGAUCGAGGGCUAUCCCAACCGAGUCCGCCAAGGCUGUUAAAAAGUUAUGUACGUAUAAAUCAUGUUUUUAUUUUGAAAACUUAGUUGUUCCUUGACGUUGGCUGAGUUCACCCUCACUUGGUGGUUUGGCGUGAAGUGACUCUAAAGUUAUACUUCCGGAGUUACUCUACUCGCCUCUCCAACCGAGGUAAAAUAUAACGGGAUUCCGUUCCUCUAUAAUAGGCUGUUCCACAGAAAACCCACCCACUGCAGCAAGUUAAACCCACCAUAUAAUAAAAUUCAAUAGCAUGACAUGGUAAUUAUUUUAUUUUAUUUUAUUUUACAGUCUUUCAAGGCAAAUCAACAAUUUACACAUUUCCAACACAUUUAUCAAAUCAACCAUUCAUGCCAAUAUUGCCAUAAGCCAAUCAAUUAGAAUCAUGAAUUUACAACACACAAAAACAGUCUUCAAUUACUCUAUUUUCAAACCAUCAUUCAAUUUUAAAACAAUUUUAUGAAAUCAUUUCAUUAAAUCACAUUUUGUUUAUAAAACAGAAAAAUUAAUCAUUUAAUUCAUUUUCCAUAAAAUUCACAAAAUCGAAUAAAACAUACUUUAGAUAAUUAAGAUGAUGAUAAGGUUACUCACUAUUUCAGGAUUCGAAUUCUAAGUACUCCGAUUCUUGAUCCUCGGGUACUAUCUCUUUACCUUUGCUAGAAUGCUCACCACCUAGACAUAAUGCACAAUAAGUCAUUUACUACAUUGUGCUAAAUUGUAAUAAAACCAAUUCGGGCUUUAUACUAAUGUAUGAAAUGGGAUGCAAAUUGUUCGGAUUAUUGUCUAAACACGGUGUUCUACACAAAUUCAAUUGUGUACCUAAAUAAAAUGGUGUUGGCCUAAUUCGAUCUAUCUCUUGAUUAAUUGGCCAAUAUGUCCAAUUUAACUCCAAAUAAAUUCCAUUUUUCUCCCAAUACUCCAAAUCAUCAAACACAAGUCAAAUAGCAUAAAAUCUAGCAAAAUCAUUUUCACAUUUUCUCUUGGAAAAUUCGGGCAUGGUGGGUGCAUCAACACUAUAAUUUUUCCUACUUGAUUCUCACACCAUAAAUCACUAAUUCCUACCCAAAUCACUAGAAAUAAAAUCAAAAUCAUCAUCAAUAUUCCACAUGGAGAAUUCGGCCAAUGAUGAGUGAUGGGAGAACCUGAAUUUUUCUUACUUGAUUUUCAUGCUACACAUCACCAAUCAACUAAAAACACUAAAAUACAUUAAAAUCUAACCAAAUUAAGCAUCAAAACCUCUCUCCUAGGGUUUGAUCAGCACACUAUCCUUCAUGAUAUCUUGUGAUUCAACCAUGGAAAAUGUAAAAUAAUGCAUGGAAAAGGUAGAUCAUAAGUCAAAAUCAAGAAAUUUUACCUUUAAUUGCUUGAUUACUUGAAAUCCACCAAUUUUCUCUUGAAUUUUCACCCUAGGGUUCUUGUUCUUCCUUUUUCUUCCUUUGUUCUUGCUUUGGCCGACCAUAUGAAGAGAAAUAGGCUGAUUUUGUGCUAAUUUAUAAGGAAAAUAAUAAAUGGUUAAGAAUUUGACACAUGUCACCUUACCAUUGGUCUAGUGUCAUACUUACCCAUUAAGCAAUUUCUCUCCACCACUUAAAUUUUCUUAAUUAUCCAUGAUUAUAUUGAGUAAAAUUCAUGUGCUAGACAAGUGUUGGGUGGUGUAAAAUUAUAAUUUUGCCCAUAGAGUGGCAAAAUGACUAUUUUACCCCUAUGCUCGAAAAAAUAUCGAAAUUAAAAUUUUUCACUUCUCAAACUCAAAUUAUGUUCUAAAUAGUCAAUCUUGAUCAAAAACUUCUUCCAACAUUCUAAUUUUAACCUCAGGUGGCAAAAUGACCAUUUUGCCCCUAAGUCAUGAAAAUUCCAAUUUGACUCCAAAUCGGUCCUCGAACUCUGAAUCACCAUUUUAAGUCAUUCUGGAGUUUUAAAAUUCUCAAUUUUAUCUUAAAAUCUCUAUUUGGUCUAGUUCGAGGCUUAAUUCAACUUAAUUGUACCAUUUGGUACAUUGCCGUCCUUUAAUGAUUUUCGAGGUACCCAAGUAAGCAAACAUGCAUUCUUAUGUAAGAAUGGCAUAAUAAACAUAUUGUAGAGUUAGGCUUGACAGCACUACCCCCAUUAAAAUAAAAUUUUGACCUCAAAAAUUUAUUUACUGAACUUAGAGAAAAGGUGAGGGUAUUAUUUUCUCAUUUAAUCCUCGACUUCUUAUGUCCUCCCCUUUAUAGGGAAUUUCAAUUCGUUCACGUCAUUUGCCUCCAAUUCAACUCGAGUACUUCGCUUAUGUUUACUAUUAUUCUUUAAAAUCAGAUCAAUAGUAACCUUCACAUUUAUGAUCUCUUGCAUCGAAACACCAAGCAUGCUUCUAUUACUAUCAUUAAACUUAAACCAUAACUGCAUCUCAAUCAUACCAAUUUCGAUCGCAUUUCAUACUUAUUUAGGUAUACCAAUCAUUAUCUUUUUACUUCAUUCCAUAUCAAACCUCUCGACUUUCAUUCAUUCAUCCUAUCCUCAUACACUAUUGUGUAGUUUACAGCAUCAUUAACAUGCCAUACUCAUUCCUGUACAUAUCCCCAGUGUUAGGGAAGAUUAAUGGCUUCAAUUAUUUCCACAUACUUCAUGUUUACCUUGCAGUUAGGAAAUUUCAAUCUUCUUAAUCUUAUUAAUCCAUCUUAUAUGGCUUAAUCGCACUAUAGAUUACAUUUCCUUAACUAUUUUCCCAAAAUUCCUUAGGUCACCAUAAAUCAACUUCUGAUAAGAUUCUUGAUCAUUACAUUAUCUAUACAACUCAUCAAAUAUAUUGAGUUCAGAUCUCGAAUCACUAAAACCAUUAUUCAUUUUAGUUGGGUACAUCACUAACUCCACACACACGUAUACACGCACAUUCAAAUGUCCAUAUUCCUCAUUAUGUAUACGGGUCUCUGUUUUCAAAUGCCUUCAGACUAAUUUCUCUUUGUUCAUUCCCAUCCAUAACCAAGAUUCAAUAGAAUAAUCUUCAAAAUUCAUACAAAUUCUCAUCAUGCUUGUGCAUAGUUCCACAUCAUUUACAUACUUAUACUCUCUUUUAAUCAUUUCCAAUUAUAUGCUUAAGUUUCCUUAUACUAUAUAUCAUUGCAUCAAAAUGUCAUCUCCAUUGAAUUAUAAUCUAUUAUGCGUGUAUGCUUUAUAAUCCCAUUGAUACUUCAAAGAUUUAUCUUAACUUGAUCAUUGCAUUUUAUGCAAUACCACAAUUCCUAAGAGUCAUCCUUUUUCCUCGAUUAUCCUUCAUGCCUCUACAUUACCUUGUAUCUUUCUUGCAUUCUGAUAUUGAUUUGUCACUUAAAACUCAAACUCAUUUGAAUCAUGUAUGCCUCAAACAUUUUCGAAUUCCAAUUUCCAUAAUAUAUUAGGAAAGUUUCAUUAUCUAACUUCAUUAUCAAGGUUAACUUCAAUCAUCUUUUGUUCCACUCUUUCAUACAAAUAUAACAUCAUUCUUCCUUAACCAAAUUACAAAUUGUACUUGAAAUUGCAAGACUUGAAACUAGUUUCUCCUCAAGUACUUUUCAAUAUUAAUACUAAUAUCACUCUCAGCUUACAACUUCCUUUUUAUAACCACAUAACUUAGUGCUUGCUUUCAUGAGAUCCAAGGUAGAACUUCUCUUGAGUAUUUCCUUAGGGAUAUCUAUCUUGAACUUAUGUCUCACAACAGGUGAUCACUUAACCCAAGACUUAGCCGUUUGGCUCCUUAACAAGUUUUAAAGUCACGCAUCUUAUGUUUAUCAUGUAAAACUUAUAAUUCUUUCUCAAAGGUGUUUAAACAUUCUUAAAACACUUAAUCACUUAUUUGCUCUUUUAUACACCAAGUAUAUCAUUUCCAUAAAGGCAUGCCUAACUACUCAUGCUUCAAUUUAUCUCCAAGGGUUUCUAACAUGUCACCUAGUUUACUUGUAUUGUUACUAAUCCUUUCCUUUCAACAAGGUCAAGACAAGAUCAAUAUAUUCUCAUAACAAUAUUCUAUAUAAACUCAUUUGCUAUAUCAUUCUUGAAAUCUUUAUUUACAUUUUCCUCACUUGGUAUUGACAUCUCUUAUCAAUAUCUCAUACAUUCAUCUAACCUUUCCUUCACUUCCUCUUUAACCUUUUACAAGGUUUACUUUACUUCUUAAGAUUUGACUUUAGUCAACAUAUUAUUCAUUUUAGCACUCCCCCAAUGCACUUAAGACUCCCAAUAGCGAAACUCGACAUCAAAACCAAUAACCUUUUUCCAACUCGUGAGUCCAAUCUUUAUGCAGCUCACAGUUUGCUCAUACUUUCUGGCCAUUAGAGGUUCUUAACGCAAUAACGUUUGUUAGUUAGUACUGUGGUGUUGCAACUACUAGAAAUUUCCUCAUCAAAGCUAUUUGUCUGCAUUCAAAGUCACUACAUCAAUCAUCCUCAACCAUUGGGUUUCCCUUCUAGGCAUAUAUCAUGAGUUCCAUAAGUAUAGGUACCUUCUCUUUGCUUGUCAACGCACUAAGCCAAGUUUAUACUUUCAACUCAUGUCAUCUUUUGACUUUCAUCAUCCUUCAUAAAAUCUCACCUCAAAACAUCCUUUCUAUACGCUGUAAUAAAUUCAUAACACAUAUAACACCUCACACAUAAGUUGCUUACUAUCUACAACUUUCCUCAAAUUUAUUGUCAUCCCUAUCUAAUUAUCUUCCUUGUCUUGUACUUCAAUAAUUUUAUUGACUUUCGAAAUAAUUAACUAUGAAAACAAUUCAGCUUCCUCCUCACUUUAUUCUCGCAAUCCUUACUAAAUCAAAAUUUCAUAUUCCCCAUAUUCCAUAAUUUAACUUCAUUGGGCUAUAUUUGUGCCCAAUUAUUACCUCAUAGUGUCAUGGCAUCACUGAGUAAUCCCCUUCAUGCUUAAAUUACAAUCAUCAACUUAAUCACGUUAUCCAUUUCGAAUGUCAUUUAUAACCUUAUUGCUUCCUCCUAUAACCUUUCUCAAUAAUUAUAUUACCAGUUCAUCCCUGUCAUACUAAAAGAUUUCCAUAUACAUCCAGUCAUUUAAAUAGCUAUUUUAUAAUCCAUUCUAGUCAUAAACUUUAAAAGCCAAACUAUUAACUUCUUUGUACAGCUAACUAUUAUCUCUUUUACACUACAUCUACCUAGAGUUAAAGUAGUAUAAAAUCCUACGAAAAUAUUACAUGUCAUUAGGAUCAUCAUCUUAAUAUGAUCUUAUCGAAAGAUUCUACUCCAAGUCCUUUUUAAGAUCCUCUUCCGGGUUCUCCUCCUCUUGAGAUUUUCUCCUUUGUUCCUCAAUCCAGGCUUGUUGUAUUCUCCUACAUUCCUCAUAACUUACCGGUGCAGCAUUUCUUCCACAAUCGGGAGGAAAAUGUCGUACAACGUUCACCUUCUUAAGGGGAUAAUUUGCAACAGUUACUUUCUCCUUUCUCUUUUCUUGUUGUUCUUUUACAUUCAUUCCACAGCCUGGAAGAUAGUGUCGAACAACUAACACCCCAUUCCUAGGACGAAUACCUCCUUCGACUAUCCCUAAUUUCCCCCUUUCUUUAGCAUAUUCCUUAGAUUCUCUAAAAAGAGAAUCUCUCAUGCUUACAUUAAUAUUAUUACUAUUUACACUUUCUGGACUACUCGGUUCGGGCUGCUAUCGGCUCUUAGCAGUAGAAUCUAGCGAUCCCUAGCUAAUACUAUGAGGGGCGUCGGGACUACUAUCUCUCCUAGACAUAAUGUGUGUGUCACCAGUGCACCUCAAAACCUAUACGUAACCAAGUAGUAAUUACUUAAUCAUUCAUGCAUCACAAAGGCGGUUAGGCUUCUACAUGUAGAUGCAUGUAUUCUAUUCGAUCUAACCUAACUUAACUCGGGGCCACAUUGACACUGUAAAUUUUUAAAAUAACUUUAAAACCAAAAACUCUUAUCUUUAAAACCAAAAGCUCUGAUACCAAUAGAAUUCUUCUACCCCUCAAGGUACGAUGGCAUUCAAUGGUACCUAUCAGAGCACUCAGCAAAGGGUGCAUGUCACGACCCGGAACUUGCCUCAGGCCCAUGACAAUCGCCGCAACGUCCCUGAUUGACACUCAUUAUCCGGAAUGCCAACCGGAACCCCGCAAGGCUUACAUAUCAGUUUCUUUCCUUUCCUAUGAGCAAUCAUUGUUAAAUAUCUAGUUUUUAGAGAAUAUACACUAUUUUAGAUCAAAAACAAUCAAAAUAAAAUUUUCGCCACACAGGGGUAUUUUGGUCAUUUUUUUCUCAAAAAUUUUGAAACUGGCUAAAACGUAAUAUACAAGUACAAAACACAUAAUUCAUAUUCAAAAUGAGUUUAAAAGUCUAAAAUCUUCAUUUAAAACGAAAUUACGGUUAUUUGAAUAUAAUAAGAAAAUAAAAGAAAUAUUAAGGAAAAUAUUCUAUUUUCUUAUAAAACAAUAUUUAUAGAGUUAUACGUGAAUAAUUUUUAUAGCGUAAAAGCUAAAUAAAUUUAUACAUACUGAAAUACAGUAAGCCAAAAUAUUUAAUUUAAUUUACAAUAACAAGAGGGCCCCCGAAUAAACAAAAGUAAAGAGGACUGUGAACCUACGAUUUGGAAAAUGCAGAUCCAAUGGUAGUCCUCGAUGAGAUCAGCUAUCUACAGUCUAUACUGAACCUGAAAUGGGUGGAAAGGAGUUGGGUGAGAUUUUGCAAUCCCAAUGAGUAAACAGACAUUAUCAUAAAUAUCUAAAGGCGAGUAAAAUGGAGGCAAGUUUAAACAAUAAAUUUCAACCCAUUUCAUAAUGUUUUCAAUUUAUUUCUUAAACCAUAAAAUAUUUGUAAUUUACCAAAACAGUUGUUAAGGCUUAUGUCUUUUAUUAAAACAAGGCUCAAGCCAAAACUAAUCCUCGGGGAUACCUUGGCCGAGGCAUCUAACCGAGUCCGCCAAGGGUGUUAAAAUAUUCACACGUGAAACACAUUUUUAUUUUUAAAACCAGCCGUCCCUUGGCGUUGGCCGAGUUACACAUUCACGUGGGGGUUCGACGUGAAGUGAGCUCUAAUACUACCCCGGGAGUUACCCUCCUCGCCUCUACAACCGGAGUAACUAUAUAACUGGGUUUACCGUGCCCCUCUAAUAGGCAGUCCACGGAAACCCGUCACUGCAGUGACUAACCCACCAAUUUUAAUAAAAUUUCGACAGUAUAACGUGGCUUUUAUUUAUUUAUCCAGCCUGCAUAGUAAAACCAACUUACAUAAAUUUCCCAAAUGCACUCACAAAAUAUAGCCACAUAUACUCAUUUCUCAUAAGCCAUUCCUAGGAAAAUAUAUAUUUUUCAAGUCAAUUUGCAGCCUCCAAUUACUCAAUUUCAUAAUCAAUACAAUAUAUUUUUAUUUGUCACAUUUAUUCCUAAAACAUCAAAAAUCCCGUUUUAAUCUCGUUCUCAUUUCAUAAAAUACAUAAAGGGCAUUUAAAAUAAACUCUAGAUAAUUUACAAUAAUAAUAAGUUUACUCACCGUUUGUACAAACUAAAAGCUUUCUAAGCGCCCCGAUCACUACUCGUCGGGUACGACUUCUUUGCCUUUUCCGGAAGGCUCUCCUCCUAGACACAUUACAAAAAUUUACACAAUUCAUCACAUUGAUGCUAAAUCACUAUAUAAUUAACUUAAAUCCUAUACUAAUGCAUGGUAUGAAAUGCAAUAGCCUAAAACGGCUUAAACGCGGUAUUAACCUAUUUUUGGCACUUUGCCCGAUAAAUUGCUAACGCGCUCCAUUUUAGCUCUAAAUCAUCCCAUUCUCUCUCCAACAUUUCUAACCAUUAAAUAUCAGCCAAUAACCUUCUAAAAACAACAAAAUCAGCUCACUCCCUUCCUUGGAAAAUUCGGCCAAAAAUGGGACAUUAACUCGGUUAAUUUUCUACUUUGUUUUUCUAUCACGUUUAAUCGUUUUUCAUCAUUUUCUCUUCAUUUCCCUUAGAAUAAAAUCAAUUCAUCAUCAUUGUACAGCAUUGAGCAUCCAGCCAAGAGUGGGUAUUGUGAAAAUUUAAUGAUUUCUUGCCCAAUUUAAUUUCUAAACACAUUUAACUAACUAAAACUAUCAAUUUAACUAAAAAUCAAAACCUAAAAAUUUCAAUUUCUCUCCCCUAGAAUUUCGUCCAGCCCUUGAUAUCACUUUUUGAUCUCUCUCCUCAAGCAUGCUAAAUGGAAAUAAAGGCAUAGGAAAGGUAGAAAUCAAGCUAAAAUCGAAAAAUCUUACCGUUAGACGCGUAAACGGUCGAAAACCGCGAAUUUCUCUUUGAAUUUUCUUGUUUCUCUUUGGUUUUUCUUUUUUUUCUUCCUUUCCUCUCUAUUUCCUCUCUUUUUCUUCCUUAUGGCUCGCCAGCACUCAAAAUUUGGGUUUAAAUGGGCUGACUUUUCAUUAAAAUAAUAUUAUUUCAUUAAAAAAAUGCCACAUGUCACUUUCCCAUUGGCCCAUUUUUAAAAUUUCAUCCAUUUGUUUCCAAAUUUUCACCAUACACUUGUCUCAUAUAUUCAUAGCUUAGGUAAAAUUCUCAGACUCAUCCAAAGUCUCGGUGGAAUAAUUUUUGAAAUUUACACUUUUACCCCCGUAAAAGUCAAAAAUUACAUUUUUGCCCAAAAAUUGAAAAAUUGCCCAUAGACAUAUUUUUCAUCCCUUAUACUCAUACCAUUCUCCAAUUUGUCAAAUUUGAUCUAAAUUCUCUCAAAAUCUCAAAUUUUGUCCGUGGGUGGUAAAAUUACGAUUUUGCCCCUACAUUCCAAAAAUCACCAGAAUUAAACUUUUUCACUUCCUAUCAUUAAAUUAUACUCCAAAUAGUUAAUCUUGGUCAAAAAUUUCACUCCAUGAUCAAAUUAUUAUCUUAGGUGGCAAAAUGACGAUUUUGCCCUUGAAUAUCAAAAUUUCUAAUUUUACCCCAAAUGAACCUUCGAACUCCGAACAAUCAUUUUUAGUCAUUCUUGGACUAUAAAAUAUUAAAUUUCAUCCUACAAUUCCUAUUUGAACUAGUUCAAGGUUAAAUCAAUUUAAGUGUACCGUUAGGUACAAUAUCAGGUUUCGUCUAUUCUUAGGUGCUUUUCUAGCGUAAUAACAUGCUACUCAAUGCAUGUAUGUCAUGACAUGUAUUUAUAGGAUCGGGUUUUACAGUGCACUUCACUCCGGGGGGGUCUCGAAGCAGUCCAUUCCCUCCCCUUCCAAGCUCCUAGGCGGAUAGCCAUACUUUGUCACUGAUCAUAUGCGAGAGUUCCCAAAAAUAAGGUUAUCUUUCCCUUUGCUCUGAUACCAAUAGAAUUGUCACGACCCGGAACUCUCAUCGAGUCCAUCACAACAGCCGCGACAUCCUAAUAGACAAUUACCCCAAAUGUCAAUUGAAACCUCGCAAGGCUUAACAUCAGUUUUUCUCGCUUCCCCUGUGAGUAUUAGUCACUAAAAUUAUGUUUUGAGAGAUUAUAAACUAUUUCCAAAUCAAAACAAUAGAAAAAUAAUUUUUUUCUCACAGGGGCAUUUUGGUCAUUUUUCCUCAUUAAUCUCGAAAUCCGUAAAAAAUAUAGUAUAUGGGUGCAAAACACAUAUUUCAUAAUCAAAAAUAAAUUUGGAUGUCUAAAACACUCGUUUAAAAUGAAAUUAUGACUAUUAGAAUAAAAUAAAAAUAUUGAAUAAAAUAUUCAAUUUUCUCAUAAAAUAUUAUUUUUAGAACACUGCAUAAAUAAUUUUUACAGCGUAAAAGCAAAAUAAAUUCAUACAUACUGUAAUACAAUAAGUCAGAGUAUUUAAUUUAAUUUACAAUAACCAAUGGGCCAUCGAAUAACCAAAAGUAAGAAAGAUUGUGAACCUACAGUUGGAGGAUGCAAAUCCAAUGGUGCUCUUCGAUGAAAUCAGUUAUCUAUAGACUAUCUUG
rnacentral:lncRNA from 1 species